UACGGAGGGUGCAAGCGUUAAUCGGAAUUACUGGGCGUAAAGCGCACGCAGGCGGCUGAGUCAGUCGAUUGUGAAAGCCCUGGGCUUAACCUGGGAAUUGCAGUCGAUACUACUCAGCUAGAGUAUGGGAGAGGGUAGUGGAAUUCCUGGUGUAGCGGUGAAAUGCGCAGAUAUCAGGAAGAACACCCGUGGCUAAGGCGGCUCUCUAGUACGGUACUGACGCUGAGACGCGAAAGCGUGGGGAGCGAACAGG
rnacentral:rRNA from 1 species